UUGAACGCUGGCGGCAGGCCUAACACAUGCAAGUCGAACGGUAACAGGAAGAAGCUUGCUUCUUUGCUGACGAGUGGCGGACGGGUGAGUAAUGUCUGGGAAACUGCCUGAUGGAGGGGGAUAACUACUGGAAACGGUAGCUAAUACCGCAUAACGUCGCAAGACCAAAGAGGGGGACCUUCGGGCCUCUUGCCAUCGGAUGUGCCCAGAUGGGAUUAGCUAGUAGGUGGGGUAACGGCUCACCUAGGCGACGAUCCCUGGCUGGUCUGAGAGGAUGACCAGCCACACUGGAACUGAGACACGGUCCAGACUCCUACGGGAGGCAGCAGUGGGGAAUAUUGCACAAUGGGCGCAAGCCUGAUGCAGCCAUGCCGCGUGUAUGAAGAAGGCCUUCGGGUUGUAAAGUACUUUCAGCGGGGAGGAAGGGAGUAAAGUUAAUACCUUUGCUCAUUGACGUUACCCGCAGAAGAAGCACCGGCUAACUCCGUG
rnacentral:rRNA from 1 species